UAUACCCACAGCAACUCAAUCAAUGAUGGAACACAGAGUUUGCUCUCCCAUGGAGAAUUAAGCUGAGAACUGGAAAAGAGAUGGGUAAUUCUUACUUCAUUGUACACAUCUUAGAUUUGCUGUCUUCGCGGUGGGGGCAGAACAUGAUCUGAAAUCCCCAUUUUAAACCUGACACUUCCUCCUGCCUUAGGCGCCAAGAAACAAGCUCGCUCCAGCUUUGUUUAACUUGUUUUUGAAUCUGCCUUGCUCCUGUUUCAUUGACAUACACGAGGAUAACAUCCAACGAUGCUCUUCCUGGCCAUUCAUGUGUAACAGGCCUGGUGCACUCGCUGUCAGCUUGAGAGGCCGGCUAAAUGACUGUGUGCUGAUCCAGAAGCAGCGGUUUCGCAUGCUUUGCAACCCACUGGACAUUUUUAUGUAUACUGUGCAAAGCUAUGACAGGUUUGGAUACAAAAGGGAUUUUUCAUAAUCCCUUGCCACAAUAAGAGAGACUUGUCAUUUUCUUUUGCUGUUAACUAGCAUAGGUCUCACACCCUGCGAAGCCGGCAGCUGUUAGCGUUCCAAACGUUAUUCAAUUUCCUUCAGCAACAGCUCGCACUACAAGCAAAAGAAAAGGAGCCGAUUGCAAUUAGAGACAAUUGAGCAAGGUAUAAAUAAAGAAAGAAC
rnacentral:lncRNA from 11 species